UACGUAGGUGGCAAGCGUUGUCCGGAUUUAUUGGGUUUAAAGGGUGCGUAGGCGGUCCAUUAAGUCAGUGGUGAAAUACGGCAGCUUAACCGGGAGGGUGGCAUUGAUACUGAUGGACUUGAGUAGAGUCGAGGUAGGCGGAAUUGACGGUGUAGCGGUGAAAUGCUUAGAUAUCGUCAAGAACACCUAUAGCGAAGGCAGCUUACUAGGCUCUAACUGACACUGAGGCACGAAAGUGUGGGGAUCAAACAGG
rnacentral:rRNA from 1 species